rnacentral:rRNA from 1 species
UACAGAGGGUGCGAGCGUUAAUCGGAAUUACUGGGCGUAAAGCGCACGUAGGUGGCGACGUAAGUCGGGUGUGAAAGCCCCGGGCUCAACCUGGGAAUUGCAUUCGAUACUGCCGUGCUUGAGGACUGGAGAGGAGACUGGAAUUUACGGUGUAGCGGUGAAAUGCGUAGAUAUCGUAAGGAAGACCAGUGGCGAAGGCGGGUCUCUGGACAGUUCCUGACGCUGAGGCACGAAGGUCAGGGGAGCAAACGGG